AGGUUGUCGGAGGGCCGCAGCCAGAGCCUGACGCGCGCGGAGCUGCGCAACGGGUUCCGCGCCGACGCGCCGCCGCCCGCCAAGCUGCUGCACGACGACCAGGGUGCAGUGAAGACUAGCUGGCUGCACUCGCUCGCGGGGCUGGUGAAGCGCCGGCUCAGCGGGUACGUCAAGUGGCAUCACGUUGCAGCGCGCCGCGAGCCGCUGCACGCCGCCGUCGCGCACCACAAGUGGGGCAACAGCGAGAGUUGGAGCGUGCCGGCGUCUCCGUUGCCACCGCGUGCCCCUCCACCGCGACCCGCCGACUAGCGAUCACCAUCCCCACCACCUCCACCACCCACAGUACCACCGCCACCACUACCGCGAGUACUGUCAACGUUAUCAACACCGCCGCGCCGUAACUGCUCACCAAGACUAUUUUUAAAGUGUUAUUAAAGUGUAAGUCUUGCAAUUAAAGAGUAGAAUUAGAAAUGACGAGCGAGUUCUAAACGCUAUUCAGGUAUGAAAAAAUCACUUCAGCCUAUCGCAGUCCACUGCUGGACGUAGGCCUCCACUAGAUCGCGUUAAAAACGGCAUGAACUCAUUUGUGUUGCCCAUAGUCACCACGCUGGGCAGGCGGGUUGGUGACCGCAGGGCUGGCUUUGUCGCACCGAAGACGCUGCUGCCCCUCUUCGGCCUGUGAAUUUCAAAGCUAGCAGUUGGAUACAUUAGUACAUUGUAUUAGAUAUGUAGUAUGACUUUUACAUGCCUAGUCUUUUUUUGUUAUCAAAUUAUCAACUUAAAUAUGAUUAAUAAUACAACGCGAGUGAGUGUCUUUCAUACUUCUAAAUUUACUCUUUAAUGACACAGCUUAUACGUGAGGAAAGUCUGGGCAAAAUGUCUUAGCGAUUGUCGCUAAAAUCUAAAUUACAUAAAUAUUCUAUGUCAUGUGAUAAAUUUCUAACAAUAAUUGUAAUAUUAAAAUUAACAUUAUUUAAAAGGUCUUCAAAAUUUAAUGGAUUUAAGAUUCUCGACCGUUCCGAACAAUAUCCUGAUGUUUCUCCAUCGCACAAAAAAAUUGGUUAAAUAAUUUGUGUUAAAUUGUAAAUAAUUAAAAUGCAUAAUAAGAAGAAAUUAAUCUCGUAUACACAUUGAUCUGUCGAUAAAUAAAGUCGACAACCGCUGAAUCAUUAUGUCUUGUAAUAGUUAAAAUUAUGGAAAAAUGUAUAUUUAUCAAUAAGUGCUGGUUAACUUGUUUUUUUUUUGUUUUCGUUACCAAGUCGUAGCUGUCGGCGAGUGUUACAGGAGCGAUGAUACUGUACAAACUUGUAUACUUUAAAUUUACGUUUUGAAUAGAAAAAUAUAUUAAACAAUAAUUUAAUUCGAGUGAAAUAUUAACAUUUAUAUAAAUCAAUCAUAUAUUUUUAAAAUUAUUGUCGUUUUAACAUUAUAAAGAUUUCUUUUAUUAAUCUCGAACGCACCGAUCAAUUCUCCUUUGUAUCUUCUCUAUUCUACGUGACAUUAACGAAAUCAUCGCCACUAUUUAAGAACUUUUGAAGGCCAUUGAUGAAUAAAAAUGUCUGAUAAAUAAAAUGAAUUAAUUAUCUCUUUUAUUAUUUAUCAAGACGUUAUAUUUCGCUUAAUAAUUGAAUGAAUUCAUAACAUUUCCAAACUUUCUAAAAUGUGGGUAGUUUUAGAUUAUUUUCAUUCAUUUCAAUCCAAGCAAUCAUCAAGUAAAUCUAUUAAUUUUGUGCGCUUGUUAUAUAUUUAUGUAAAUGUUGAUGUUUUAUUCUGGCUUAUAAAAGAUUAAUUACCUAGAUUUACUGUUAGUCUGAAACGGUUGUAGUGUUUUAGAUGUAAAAAAUAGAAAUGCGUAAACUGACACGGACAAUACACUAUAGCUAUACUUUAAGUUAUUUUGAUAUAUUUUUCUAUUCAAGUACAUCUAUAUAAACGCUAAGCUUGAGGGUGCAGAGUGGAUCCUAGCGAGAGGCGUUAAAUCAAAACACACAUGCGUAAUAUAUACAAUUUAUAUGUUACAUGCUAUAAAAAAAAAAAACAGUCCUUACUUAGGGCAGUUUCUCCCUGUUCUGUAUUUGAAAUUGAGUAGACGAAUAAAAACUAAUAACAAUAGCACCACGGUUCGCUUAAACCGAAUAUAAAAAUUAUCAUAUCAAAAAUUUCGAUCUAGCGGGUACAUCGUUCCAUAGCUUAAUUGGCUAGAGCGCCGACACGGUCAGUCGGAGACGCGGGUUCGAACCCCGCUGGAGCGGUCAAUUUUUGAUAUGAUAUUCAAAAAUGUUUAAUAACAAUGAUUAAAAAUUUGAUUAACAUUAACAUAUAAGUAUAGACACCGCACUGAUGGUGCUGUGGUGCGUGUGCUUUGUACGCUCCUAACCUUUGUUCGAUACCCACUCGGGAUGAUUAUCGGCAUUUAUACAAAAUAAUUUUUCCGGUCACAGUGUCUGUCCUUGCGGAACUUUUCACGGUGCCGCGGAGAGCACGUAAAGAUGCCCCCCCUCCCCCGUUGUUAAAACAUAAAUAUCUACGUAAUUAUAGAAGGAAUUCUAUAGAAGGAAUUCUAUAGAAGUAAAGCUAAGGAGUAGGCUAAGCCAGCAAGGAGCAGUGUAGUGGGUUAAGCUCCGAUCCUUCUCCCACACGGAGAAAAAGACUUAUGUCCGAUGUCUGAUCAAUGAUGGUGAUGCUGAUGCGAUACGAUACUAUCCAGCCGGUAACAUCGCACUGCUGGGCAUAGGCCUCUGGAGAAAGAGUUCUCCAUGUAAGAAAAAAUCGGAGCUUAAUCUACAAAGCUGCUCCACUACGGGUUGGCUGAUAAUGAUGCUGUAUCAAUAAAAAAUAUACAUGUUUAAGGAAAGUGUGAACUAAUAGGAUAGGAUUGUAGGAAUUGAGAAAUCAGCCAAAUAGAAGCAGUAGUUUAGGCACAAGAUAGGUUUACAUUAUACUUAUAUUAUGCUACAUGUGGUUUUAUUUAAUGCCUCUCUACAUUAAAACUCGAAAUAGAAAUAGCGCAGUAGAGCAUCAAAUACGUUGAAAGUCAUAUGAAAUGUGUAAAUAUUAUAUUUAAGGUUUGCGAUUAAUAUAAUCGAUGCGAGAUUUUUUUUAGGUACAAUUGUUGUGUAUUUACCAAAACUUGGUACAUUGGGCUUUAUACGUGAUAACGAUUGUAAAACUUUUGGUAGAUAACCUUGCUUGUUUUAACGGCCACGGUCGGUUGUAUAUUUUUUUUUAAAUAUGGAUUCAGUAAAUAUUGUUUAACGUUAUUUCUAUGAUUUUUUAAUUCGUGUAGUUUGUUAUUUUGAAAUGAUUCAAUUUAUCUAUUAAAGUUUUAAUUAAAUAAAAAAUUAAACAACAUUUUUUUACAAUUUCAUCUACUAAUAUUUAUAGUAGGCAACACAUUUACAUUGUACAAAACAUUAUUUAAGAAAUUACGCUGGUCCCAAUCCUAACUAGAGUAGCCGAAAAAAAAAUUGUUUUAAAAUAAUUUAAUUUGAUGAUGACUGAAAAUUAUCCUGAUUUGAGUUUUAUAUCAUCAUAAUGAAUAUAAACUGAAUUUAAAAACAUCUUUUAAAUAUCAAAACCGUCAUUGUUAUAAUUAUUUUUAAGCCAAGAAAGCGUUCCGGUAGGAAAAAUAAAUACGUAUGUUAGAGACACAACUUGUACUAGUUAUUUAUCAUCAACAACAAAAUCUUCAGUUUUUAUGAUUGUUGUAUUUCACCAUCCCCUGACGUCUUCGUCCCGACCGUGGCGAAUAAUUCCUAUUAUAGAAAAAAAAAAAAAAUUUUUCAAUGUAAAUAUCGUGUAAUUAUAUUGAUAAGUGAUGAAAUAUUUAAGCGCAGUUUUAUUUUAUAGACGUUUCAUAAAAUUUUAUAUGAUUUCACUCCCUAACGGAUAGCACAAUAUGUAUUGACCGCUUGUUCUGACGUUAGUUCGUACACGAUUACCAAAUGUGUAUUUGUAAUCUGUCCGUGGUAAGAAAAUAGUGACUUAUCAAUGUCACUUAGCUUAACCUCUUGAAUAAUUAUCUCGUAGUAGAUUAGAAUGUUUGUCUGAAUGUCUUACUUCAACUAGUCAAUUCGAACACGCCAUUCUAAUUUAUUACAAUUUAAUAUCUCAAAAAGCAUGGCUAAACUAACUGUAAGUGGCAAAGAUGUCUCACUAUUAUCUUAACUUGAAUAGAUAUUUUAUUUUAAAUUAGCUGAAACAAAAUAUGCUCCAAGUUUUCUGGAAUUUUCCGUUUUUUCGCGUAAUAUUCUUAGUUUUUAAUUCCAUUAGAAUCUACAAAUUAAUUGGAAAAGUUAAAAAAAAAAUGGAUUAUAUGGUAUUUAUUUAUUUUUAAUAACGAAUAUUUAUUAAUAAAAAGAUUUAAAUAGGUACUCUUCAAGUGUCAAUUUCAUUCAGAUUUGACAGUUCUAGCUCUCGUCAGGACAGUUUUGAAGUUAAAAUAAAUAUUAAUUGUUAUUAUCACAAUUUUAAUGGUUAUUUUUGCGAUAUAAUUCAUUGCUAAAAUUUUUUAAAUUCUCUAUAGUAAGAUGUGAACAAAGAGAGAAAAUUAUCUAUAUAUUAUGUUUCUUUUGUGGUUAUUAUGUGUUAAAUAUUUAAUUAAUUACAAUCGUACGAAAAAUGUUGUAACAGCAUUUUAAAAAUAAUUGAAAAUUUUGCAGAAUUUUAUUGUUUUAUUUUUUAUAUAGAUACAGCAUCUACUGGCUAACGAUUCUUAUUCUUUACCAAUUUUAAAUUAGUAAUUAAUCACUUAAAUGCAAAAAAAUAAAAUAAACAUGCAUCAAAGUUUUUAAAUGUAUUUUGUGACACAAAUUUCAAUUAAUUUUCAUUUGAAAAAUGUCUUACAUAAAGAAAAUGUGUAGCCAGUAGAUAGCUCUAUAUAUUUAUUCUGUAUAUAUUUUAUAAAACUUAGAGCCGUCCGACGACUUACACUGACGACGAGACAAAAAAUUAGCCCUCUACUUUGUGUUCCUUUUCAACGCAAGUUUAUUUAAACAGUAAUAUUUAUUUCUUUUUAUGAUAUAUGAUGUCUAAACUGUCAUGAAAUUGUCUAAGAUGUAUGCUUUAAAUAUUACUAUUAUAUUAUAAAUGUUUGAGUUGUUCCAGUGUUAGUCGUAAGUCGCGUCUCGCGGUUCAAAGUACCCCCUAGUCCGCACGCACGCGUGCUAUCGCAAUGUAACUUAUUGAGAUGAAAUGUAUUUAAUGAAACAACGAUUUAUUUUCAUUUUGUAGUUAUUGCGAUUAUUAUCAUUACGUGUACUGUAAUAAAUGCGGAUCAAGCUGUAUUGUUUUUUUUUUCAUAACACUAAUCCUUUCCCAAAUUUAUGCGUAUUAUUUAGGACUUGACGAUAACGAAAAUGAAAAAUAUUUCGUAUCUAGUGAAUUCAGUUUCUGUAGUAUUUUCUACCCUGUUUCCUGCAUUCACUCUUCUUUCAAUAUCACUC
rnacentral:tRNA from 1 species